rnacentral:lncRNA from 1 species
CAAGACCUUGUCUCUAUUAAAUUAAAGAUUAAAAUAGAGUUUACAAAUUAAAAAAUGUCAACACAAAGUAAACUUUAUACUUUGUGAGCUGAGCAGGUGGCCAGCUUGCCGCCCAGCUGCUCAGCCUGGCACCAAUGGCUUGUCCUGCACCAGUGCUUGGCAUGGGGUCAGGAGGACAGUUUGGGAAGAGUCUCCAGCAGACCGGCGUGCCUGGUCUCACAGAUGACUUCCCAACCCCGUGCCAAUGGGAAACCAACAGAGGCAAGUGGCCAGGGUGGAGAGCCUGGGAGGCAGAGCAGGUGGCCCUGGCACAGCAGGUCUGGCUGAGUCUCACCUGCCUGGAGCAGGUAGAAAUGUUGGGGAAAGUGUGGCUGCCUGGGAGUCAAGGUCGCUUUGAAGGAUCCACUGAGUCAGUGUACAGAUGAGGAAACUGAGCUCAAGAGCAGGAAGGGAAAUGCCCAGAAGCCAGUGAGGAAAACAGGCAGAGUGCGAUCUGGAUUCAGCAACAGGAAAUGUGAUUUCCCCACCUAUUUGGGAGGCUGAGGCAGGAGGACUGCUUGAGCCCAGGAGUUUGAGGCCAGCCUGGGCAACGUAGAAAGACCUUCCCCACUCCCUCGCAAAAAACAAAAACAAAAAAAAAGAAUAUGAUUCCGAACACCACAGCAAGUGCAUCUCUCUGAAGUCCCCUGCUGACAGUGAAGCCCUGCUUCUCUUCACUGGCUGAUGUGCAGACAUUUAUUAGUAAAUCUUCACGGCGGUCUAGGGAGGCCUUUGACUGAGCGCUGUUCAUCGAGUCCAGCCCCGGCUUUGCAAAUAAACAGCUGACACCAAGAGAGGAGAAGCAACACGGCUGAGGCCACAGGGUGACAAAGCCUUAACAGGGGUGGUCUUUGGCCGGAGGAAGAAAUGGCUUUGUUGCUCAGGAGAGCUUUGGGAAUGGAACUCAGGGGCUUCCAAAGAGCAGCAAUCAGGAAAACAAGCAGGGAGGAUCCAGGUUUUGCAAGGCCUGAAGCCUGCACACUAGGGAGCCCCAUGCUCUGUGAAGGAGAGAACAGUGAUAAGAAGAAGAUAAUGAUUCAGCAGCUUUGCAAACAUUGUUUGGUGAAUAAACAGCCCCGUUCAGUGCACCGGUUUCUUCCUCCCAUCAUGGGACAGGUGGAAUGUGAUCUGAGAUGCCAGCCUUGGUCAGCUGGAGGGUUGUUCAGCUGCCUCGUGACUCCUCCUCGGUAAGAGUGAAAGAG